AACUUAAAAAAACAACAUAUAGUAACAAUUAUCAACAUUUUCAUAAACUUUUUAUGUGAAUUUUGAUAUUUUAUUUAUUUGUUACAUUAACUAAGAUAACAUUUGAAUAAUUUGAGGAGCUUUAAUUUGAUAGAAAAAUCAUCAACAAUUGGUUCUUUAAAGAGAGUCAGAGCGUCUGGCAAAGAAACAACGACACCCAAAUACAUUUUUAUUGGGUUGAGUUUAGUUUAUUAUUGAAACUUUUGACUAAUAACAUUUUUAUAAUUUAAAAAGAGGAAUACAUUUGAAUUGUUUAAUUUAUUGAAACAUGGUAAUUAAGAACUUGACUUCAAUGUUGUGCAAAUUUUAAUGUACUCGCAAGCGCACGAAUCUAUUGUAGUAUAGAUCAAUGGUGACGAGUGUCGAUCCCACGAGGAGGUGGAUUUUAAUUGUGUGUAGAAUUAAUUUUGUAAAUGGGUGAUUGGAUUUGUGGUGGAAAUGAUUUGGAAUAUGUUAAAACUUAAAUUAAAAUGGCGAGAAUAAAUUCUAAAAUUGGAAUUGAAAUGGCGAGAAUAAAUUGAAGAGAAUUCUAUUGAAAUGACGUACUUGGGUAUCUGGAUCCGUAUCAACAUGCACCAUGGGCUAAAUAUUCCUUAUUAAUACCAAUUAAAUCAUGAGGGGGGAAUCCACACCUCAUGAACUACACUCUAAUCAAUAUGGGGCUAAGGGCUUAUCGUGCCAAAUAAUAAUAACCUUGUACUAGAGAGCCGGUGUAACCAAGGCCGUAUCUAGACAAGAUUAUUAUUAUUUGUCGACGAAAAAUCAAAUCAUCCACAAAAAUUAGAGGAGAAGAGAAAAUAAAUUUACCAAAUAAAGCCCAUGACACAUGUUGAGACUUCACCUUCAACCCAAGCUUGAAAGAAAAUUAGCCACUCAUAAUUGAACUAGGGGCAAAAUGGAAAUUUAUUAAAAUACAUAGAAAAUACAAGAUGGAGAAGGAAUUACAGAAAAUGGAUCCCAAAAAUGCAUUCAGAGCUAUCAAAUUAGGGGGGGGGAAGCCCCUUUUUUAUAGAUACAUGGAGUAAAUCAUGACCAUCAAAUUAAAAACAGUUUGGACGCUCAGGAUUGCGCCAUGUCAUCAGUCAACAGUACGCGGUUUGACCACGUGGAUGAACAGUACACACGGUUUGACCCGGGUGAACAGUGACGCGGUUUGGUUGAAAAUAAUCCUGUGUGAUGCAUGUACCGUACGCGAGAUUUUUCGACGUAAAUUAGAGGAGAAGAGAAAAUAAAUUUACCAAAUAAAGCCCAUGGCACAUGUUGAGACUUCACCUUCAACCCAAGCUUGAAAGAAAAUUAGCCACUCAUAAUUGAACUAGGGGCAAAAUGGAAAUUUAUUAAAAUACAUAGAAAAUACAAGAUGGAGAAGGAAUUACAGAAAAUGGAUCCCAAAAAUGCAUUCAGAGCUAUCAAAUUAGGGGGGGGGAAGCCCCUUUUUUAUAGAUACAUGGAGUAAAUCAUGGCCAUCAAAUUAAAAACAGUUUGGACGCUCAGGAUUGCGCCAUGUCAUCAGUCAACAGUACGCGGUUUGACCACGUGGAUGAACAGUACACACGGUUUGACCCGGGUGAACAGUGACGCGGUUUGGUUGAAAAUAAUCCUGUGUGAUGCAUGUACCGUACGCGAAAUUUUUCGUCCACUGAUAUACUGUCACGUCACCAUCAACAGUACAUAAGAAUUUUAGCCCAACAUGAUCGUGACACCUCAUCAGUCAAUGCCACAUCAUCGGUCAAUGCCACAUCAUCGGUCAAUACCACGUCAUCGAUCCGUCUAUGGAAACAGUGUCAUGAACAGUAACGUAGACAGUACCGUAUACGUGAAUAGUACCGUACAUGUGAAUAGUGCCAUUUGUCCUUUUAUGCUCCUCCAAAGGUUUUCGACCGUCCUGAGUUCAAAAGUGAUGUCCGUUUUGCCGUCUGAUCUCUCGUUUAUUGUGAAAUGACCAUGAUACCCCUAAAAUACAUAAAAUACUUAAUUAAAAUCAAACACACAUAAUUAAAUUGCAAGAAGCUUAAAUACAUAAAAGUAAGGGUUGUUAGUAAAACUUGAAAUGUAAAAUGAUGAUUUUCUCCUUUAUAAAUAUAUAUUUUAUAACACUCAACAUUCAACAUUAAAGUUUUACUUACAAUUUUUAAUUGAUUGUAAUUACAUGUAUUCAUUUAUUUCAGCUUAAAAUCCUUAAUUAAUAUAUUAAUCCUUAUAUAAUCCUUGUAUAAUUACAUUUUAUUAGAGUCAGAUUCCAUAAUUGUAAAAUAGUGUUUUUAUUUUUUAAUUGCCUUUGUUUUCUACUCUUUUUAUAAAUUAUUUUUGUUUAAAGUACGUACUUAUAUGGAUAAGAUUUUUCGUGUCCCUCUUAUUU
rnacentral:lncRNA from 1 species